UGCCAGCCGCCGCGGUAAUACGUAGGGACCGAGCGUUGUCCGGAAUUAUUGGGCGUAAAGAGCUCGUAGGCGGUUCUUUAAGUCGGAUGUGAAAUCUCAGGGCUUAACCCUGAAACCGCACCCGAUACUGGAGAACUUGAGGCAGGUAGGGGAGAUCGGAAUUCCUGGUGUAGCGGUGAAAUGCGCAGAUAUCAGGAGGAACACCGGUGGCGAAGGCGGAUCUCUGGGCCUGUUCUGACGCUGAGGAGCGAAAGCGUGGGGAGCAAACAGGAUUAGAUA
rnacentral:rRNA from 1 species